rnacentral:rRNA from 1 species
GACGAACGCUGGCGGCGUGCUUAACACAUGCAAGUCGAACGGAAAGGCCCUGCUUUUGUGGGGUGCUCGAGUGGCGAACGGGUGAGUAACACGUGAGUAACCUGCCCUUGACUUUGGGAUAACUUCAGGAAACUGGGGCUAAAACCGGAUAGGGCUUCCUCCUGAUUGGGGGGGGUGGGAAGGUUUCGGCGGUUGGGGAUGGACUCGCGGCUUAUCAGCUUGUUGGUGGGGUAGUGGCUUACCAAGGCUUUGACGGGUAGCCGGCCUGAGAGGGUGACCGGCCACAUUGGGACUGAGAUACGGCCCAGACUCCUACGGGAGGCAGCAGUGGGGAAUAUUGCACAAUGGGCGGAAGCCUGAUGCAGCAACGCCGCGUGCGGGAUGACGGCCUUCGGGUUGUAAACCGCUUUCGCCUGUGACGAAGCGUGAGUGACGGUAAUGGGUAAAGAAGCACCGGCUAACUACGUG